rnacentral:rRNA from 1 species
GCUUGUCUCAAAGAUUAAGCCAUGCAUGUCUUAGUGUAAAUAACUCUUAUGAAACUGCGAAUGGCUCAUUAAAUCAGUUAUCGUUUAUUUGAUGGUCCCUUACUACAUGGAUAACCGUAGUAAUUCUAGAGCUAAUACAUGCGUCAAGCCCCGACUUCGGAAGGGGUGCAUUUAUUAGAUUCAAACCAUCGGCCUUCACGGGUCUUUGAUGGUGAGUCAUAAUAACUGAGCGAAUCGAAUGGCCUUGUGCCGUCGAUGCUUCAUUCAAAUUUCUGCCCUAUCAGCUUUCGAUGGUAGGAUCUUGGCCUACCAUGGCUAUAACGGGUAACGGGGAAUUAGGGUUCGAUUCCGGAGAGGGAGCUUGAGAAACGGCUACCACAUCUAAGGAAGGCAGCAGG